GUACACUCCUGCGGGAGGCAGCAGUGGGGAAUUUUGGACAAUGGGCGAAAGCCUGAUCCAGCAAUGCCGCGUGAGUGAAGAAGGCCUUCGGGUUGUAAAGCUCUUUUGUCAGGGAAGAAACGGUGAAAGCUAAUAUCUUUUGCUAAUGACGGUACCUGAAGAAUAAGCACCGGCUAACUACGUGCCAGCAGCCGCGGUAAUACGUAGGGUGCAAGCGUUAAUCGGAAUUACUGGGCGUAAAGCGUGCGCAGGCGGUUUUGUAAGACUGAGGUGAAAUCCCCGGGCUCAACCUGGGAAUUGCAUUGGAGACUGCAAGGCUAGAAUCUGGCAGAGGGGGGUAGAAUUCCACGUGUAGCAGUGAAAUGCGUAGAUAUGUGGAGGAACACCGAUGGCGAAGGCAGCCCCCUGGGUCAAGAUUGACGCUCAUGCACGAAAGCGUGGGGAGCAAACAGGAUUAGAAACCCCGGUAGUCCCAU
rnacentral:rRNA from 1 species